CAGAGGGUGCGAGCGUUGUUCGGAAUUACUGGGCGUAAAGCGCGCGCAGGCGGCCUUUUAAGUCCGACGGUGAAAUGCCGGGGCUCAACCCCGUGCCCGCCGCGGAUACUGGGAGGCUGGAGACGAGUAGAGGCAAGCGGAAUUCCGGGUGUAGCGGUGGAAUGCGUAGAGAUCCGGAAGAACACCGGAGGCGAAGGCGGCUUGCUGGGCUUGGUCUGACGCUGAGGCGCGAAAGCGUGGGGAGCGAACAGGAUUAGAUACCCUGGUAGUCCACGCCGUAAACGAUGGGCACUAGACGCUGGUGGGAUCGACCCCUUCGGUGUCGCAGCUAACGCGAUAAGUGCCCCGCCUGGGGAGUACGGCCGCAAGGCUG
rnacentral:rRNA from 1 species